AGGACGAACGCUGGCGGCGUGCUUAACACAUGCAAGUCGAGCGGAAAGGCCCUUCGGGGUACUCGGGCGGCGAACGGGUGAGUAACACGUGAGUAAUCUGCCCCUAGCUCUGGGAUAGCUCCGAGAAACCGGGAUUAAUACCGGAUACGACCACCUUAGACAUCUUUUGUGGUGGAAAGAAUUUCGGCUAGGGAUGAGCUCGCGGCCUAUCAGCUUGUGGUGGGGUAACGCCUACCAAGGCGACGACGGGUA
rnacentral:rRNA from 1 species